rnacentral:rRNA from 1 species
UCCGUAGGCGGCCUUAUAAGUCAGUGGUGAAAUCUCCCGGCUCAACCGGGAAAUGGCCAUUGAUACUGUAGGGCUUGAAUUAUUAGGAAGUAACUAGAAUAUGUAGUGUAGCGGUGAAAUGCUUAGAGAUUACAUGGAAUACCAAUUGCGAAGGCAGGUUACUACUAAUGGAUUGACGCUGAUGGACGAAAGCGUGGGUAGCGAACA